CUUCCACUCCUGUAAAAUAAGUUAUAGAGAUCUUAUGUACAACGAUGUGACUAAAGGUAAUUGUUUAUGCUAUAUCAUUUAAAUUUAUCAAGACGGAUAGAUCAUAAGUUCUCACCACAUGCACAGUCAACAAAAAAAAAGCUAUGUGAAGUGGCAGAUAUACCAAUUAGCAUGGUUGUGCUGAAUAUUUCACAGGAAUGUAUUAUAUGUAUAUAGAUACAUUAAAUCUCUUUUAACUCUAAGCUAUUCUUCAGAAAAGUUAGAUACAGAAGUCCUAUCCGUCAGUGCCAGCCUUGACCUAGUGUCACGGUGGCUUCCUGUUCCCUUUGGUUUCUGUAUCACAGGCAGGCUGGAGUUGGGAAUGCAUUGAUGGUAAGGGUGAAUUCUGGGAGCCGUUGUUGUUAGAAUGGCUGUUGACCAACUGCUAAGGAAACACCUACUAACUGAUAGAUACAGGCUAUCAGUUUUGUCAUUAAAAAGCUUAAACAAGAGUUGUGAAUCGAGGAUUCUUGCCUUCCAAAUUGUUUCUUCAGCUAUGUCAGUCCUCAUGCUGGCAACAAAUUUACCUAAAGUACAGACCAAGCUAUUUGUACAUAGAAGUUAUGCCUCUCUAUUCACCUAUCCCCAGUGCCUAGGACAGUAAACAGAAUGUGGUAGGUACUUAAUAAGCAUUUAUGUACUAAAUCAGUGUUGCUACUCUCUGCAGGCAAUUUCAAUUACAAGCAUUACAAAGUGAGGCUCCAAAGAUUUCCUACGAUCUAUGUGAAUUCCUGGACAUGGUGGCUUCUUCAUGAGACUGUGGAAUUGAAUGCUAAACAUGCUGGACUUGCUGAGUGAGUACCUAGACCCAGCUCAGACUGGCCCUGCUCUGUCAGCAAUGGGCAGUGUGGACUCUCUCUCCCAGUGAAGACCACCAUGGGCUGAGCAGGCAGAUACAGCAGAGCCCAAACUGCAAGUCACAUCACCUGGGCAGGAGCAGAGGAGGAAGCAUUCAGCCAUAAAUAACUCCUGGAACCAAGGAAACCAGAACCUGAUUGUCAUGACUCCUGGAGAAGCGAGGGGUCCACUGACCAGAAAGAGCUGGUGGUACAGCCUCCCUGGUGAGAACAUGCCUCUCCAUGGCUUCCACGUUUUGGCUGGUCCUCUCCUCCGCAUAAAACCUGCCCAGACCUCAGAUGGGGGAGAGAGUGAAGCCUUGCCUCGUGUCUCCUUGCAAGACAGCUUUCUUUUCUCAAAAUCUGGUGAUAUGGUAUUGAUGGCCAUGUGUACUGGGAAGCAGCUGGCACUUGCUAAAUAAAACCACUAUCCUGAAGAUGUGUUUCUCACCUGUGGCUCAUCCAGGUCCCUUUGGUAUUCUCCCUUUUCUCUCUCAAGCCACUGCCUUAUUAUUUUUUGAACUAUUGGUUUGGGGUACACUUACAGUAUUUUAGAAUUGUCGGGGACCUUACAGGUCACCUAGUCUGUCUCCUCCUCAGCACCAAGUCUCAGCUGUUGAGAAGAGAAAGCUGGAAAACUGAAAGCUACUUAGCAAAGGUUUUAGGGAAGGAUAUUGAAAUCUGUGUGUGACAGGAAGCUUAGGAAUUCUAGUAAACUGUAAGCGUUCGCUAAACUCUGUUUUUCUACAACUGACAUUGUUUUCCAAAUGACUGCUUAGAAUUGGUUUGUAUGAAGAACAUAAUUUGUGGCUCUUAUGGAUUUUAAUGGCAAGUACUUUUUAUUUGAUUAGAAACACUCUAUUAA